GGAGGAAUAGGUACUUUAGACACAUUUUGAUCAUCUAGCAGAAGAGGAAGAUUGUUGACUACCAGAUGCAAAAAUACUCUACGAGAUGAGAAGUAUAAAUUCGAGACCUGUGUCCCUGAAGUCCAGCCUCAUCCUAACACCACCAACAUAUGUCCUCUUCUUGAUGCUCUAUGUAAGCUGUGAUCUGCGUGACAAUGGCGGCACAGCAGCAGAGACGCCAAGACGGCACAGUGAGUCUUCAUUUCGCUCGGACCAGUACGCCCACUUAAUAGCCCUCGCUUGCCAAGGGCUUUGCUAUGAGUGCUAUAUGCACGGGAUUUACAACCUGACUCACUGUACAACAACAUGUAAGACAUGGGCAGGUAUUUCAUUUGAUGGAUUUGACACAUUUGCCGUAGAUGUGACAAAGCACUGUUCUGCGUGACACUGCACGUACAAGUAGGCCUAAGCAUGACCGACAAAGUCUUGUAGUCAAAGGGUCGUUGCCCUCAGUAUUCUUAUUGGACAAAGAAAUUGUUUCUGUACAAGUGACACAAAGCAAAACGAUAACUGAGUCGAUGAAUGGCUAAUUGAUAUAAUGGCAAUUUGAUAUUGCCAAUUAAGAAGCACAAUAACGAAAUGGAAUUCUAAUCUAGCAAAACUGCUGUCAAAGGUUCAAUGAACAGAGUUCUUAACACCGAAGGAAUAAAAUAUAUGUCUGUUGUAUAUUUAUUGUACGUGGAAACAUAAAAGAACAAACACUAACGGAUUUAUAGCUAACAAUUCACGGUAUUGUUGAUAUCACAUUAUCUUUUAAUCGGUGCUUUCAUGAAAAAAUAAACGGCCGAUAAUGAGGUACCGCAAUACAAUGAGACCAUGCGUAUCAUGAAACUUACAUAAUAACUUUUAUACGA
rnacentral:misc_RNA from 1 species